UACGUAGGGCGCAAGCGUUGUCCGGAAUUAUUGGGCGUAAAGAGCUCGUAGGCGGCUUGUCACGUCUGCUGUGAAAUCCCGGGGCUCAACCCCGGGCGUGCAGUGGAUACGGGCUGGCUAGAGGCAGGCAGGGGAGACUGGAAUUCCUGGUGUAGCGGUGAAAUGCGCAGAUAUCAGGAGGAACACCGGUGGCGAAGGCGGGUCUCUGGGCCGAUACUGACGCUGAGGAGCGAAAGCGUGGGGAGCGAACAGG
rnacentral:rRNA from 1 species